CUCUCUCGCCCUGGAGCAGAAUCUGGGACACAGCCUAGAGCUGCGCAGGUGUUUAGCAGGAAGUCCAUCUGCUCAUGCACCUGAGACCGAGACUUGCCCUGGAGCAGCCAGUCGUUGAGGUCCUGCAUUAUAGACUGGGACUCCACCGACAGCCCUGACAGGUAAAGCCAGGAUGCCCGCCUCAUGAAGAUAGCCGUGACCAUCGAACAAGCUGCCGUGUCAGCUGCGUCUGAGGCGGCCUGGAGAGCUGCUUUCGCUACCGCUGUACCCUCGUCAAGCAGCGCUUUGAACUCCUUCCUGUCUUGCUCUUGGAGGGAGGGCUCGAAUUUUGGCAAAGAGCCCCACAAGUUAAAGUCAAAGCGACUCAGGAGGGCUUGGUGGUUUGCCACCCUGAGUUGGAA